AAUGAACGCUGGCGGCAGGCUUAACACAUGCAAGUCGAGCGAGAACGGAACUUCGGUUCUUAUUAGAGCGGCAAACGGGUGAGUAACACGUGGGAACCUACCCCUUGGUAGAGGAUAGCCAUUGGAAACGAUGAUUAAUACUCUAUAAGCACUACGGUGGAAAGAUUUAUCGCCGAGGGAUGGGCCCGCGCUAGAUUAGCUAGUUGGUAAGGUAAUGGCUUACCAAGGCUACGAUCUAUAGCAGGUUUGAGAGGAUGAUCUGCCACACUGGGACUGAGAUACGGCCCAGACUCCUACGGGAGGCAGCAGUGAGGAAUAUUGGACAAUGGAGGAAACUCUGAUCCAGCCAUGCCGCGUGAGUGAUGAAGGCCUUAGGGUUGUAAAACUCUUUCAGUGGGGAAGAUAAUGACGGUACCCACAGAAGAAGCCCCGGCUAACUCCG
rnacentral:rRNA from 1 species